UGGGGAAUAUUGGACAAUGGGCGAAAGCCUGAUCCAGCCAUGCCGCGUGUGUGAAGAAGGUCUUCGGAUUGUAAAGCACUUUAAGUUGGGAGGAAGGGCAGUAAGCGAAUACCUUGCUGUUUUGACGUUACCGACAGAAUAAGCACCGGCUAACUCUGUGCCAGCAGCCGCGGUAAUACAGAGGGUGCAAGCGUUAAUCGGAAUUACUGGGCGUAAACCGCGCGUAGGUGCUUCGUUAAGUUGAAUGUGAAAGCCCCGGGCUCAACCUGGGAACUGCAUCCAAAACUGGCCAGUUAGAGUAGGGCAGAGGGUGGUGGAAUUUCCUGUGUAGCGGUGAAAUGCGUAGAUAUAGGAAGGAACACCAGUGGCGAAGGCGACCACCUGGGCUCAUACUGACACUGAGGUGCGAAAGCGUGGGGAGCAAACAGG
rnacentral:rRNA from 1 species